rnacentral:sRNA from 1 species
GCCAGGUGCAGUGGUGCACGCCUGUAAUUCCAGCAGCUUGGGAGGUUGAGGCAGGAGGAUCACGAGUUGAAAGCCAGCCUCAGUAACUGCAAGGUGCUAAGCAACUUGGUGAGACCCUGUUUCUA